rnacentral:rRNA from 1 species
UACGGAGGGUGCGAGCGUUAUCCGGAUUUACUGGGUUAAAGGGUGUGUAGGCGGACUGUUAAGUCAGUGGUGAAAUCCCGGGGCUCAACCCCGGAACUGCCAUUGAUACUAUCAGUCUUGAAUACUGUGGAGGUGAGCGGAAUGUGUCAUGUAGCGGUGAAAUGCUUAGAGAUGACACAGAACACCGAUUGCGAAGGCAGCUCACUACGCAGUUAUUGACGCUGAGGCACGAAAGCGUGGGGAUCAAACAGG